rnacentral:rRNA from 1 species
UACGUAGGGUGCAAGCGUUAAUCGGAAUUACUGGGCGUAAAGCGUGCGCAGGCGGUUAUGUAAGACAGAUGUGAAAUCCCCGGGCUCAACCUGGGAACUGCAUUUGUGACUGCAUAGCUAGAGUACGGUAGAGGGGGAUGGAAUUCCGCGUGUAGCAGUGAAAUGCGUAGAUAUGCGGAGGAAUACCGAUGGCGAAGGCAGCCUCCUGGGCCAACACUGACGCUCAUGCACGAAAGCGUGGGGAGCAAACAGG